ACGUGAUGCAAACGUUACAAGAUGAAGCUGCAUAUUAUUCAAAGCUCAAGUGGAUUUUUUUAGCAGAAGGGCUUGGCUUUCCCCUCUUUCAUUUGCGGUGUUCCGUAUGUUAGAAUAUAAACAAAGUCACAUGACUGGGGGGCAGAGGGCAUUGCUGAGGGCAAGAUUGGAUGACACAGCGAUUUAAUUUGAUUUAAUUUUAGUAGUGAUUGCCGUGUAAUCGUAAUAAUGCAGCCACCACAGCAAAA